rnacentral:rRNA from 1 species
GACGAACGUUGGCGGCGUGCCUAAUACAUGCAAGUUGAGCGAUGAAGAUUGGUGCUUGCACCAAUUUGAAGAGCAGCGAACGGGUGAGUAACGCGUGGGGAAUCUGCCUUUGAGCGGGGGACAACAUUUGGAAACGAAUGCUAAUACCGCAUAACAACUUUAAACAUAAGUUUUAAGUUUGAAAGAUGCAAUUGCAUCACUCAAAGAUGAUCCCGCGUUGUAUUAGCUAGUUGGUGAGGUAAAGGCUCACCAAGGCGAUGAUACAUAGCCGACCUGAGAGGGUGAUCGGCCACAUUGGGACUGAGACACGGCCCAAACUCCUACGGGAGGCAGCAGUAGGGAAUCUUCGGCAAUGGACGAAAGUCUGACCGAGCAACGCCGCGUGAGUGAAGAAGGUUUUCGGAUCGUAAAACUCUGUUGGUAGAGAAGAACGUUGGUGAGAGUGGAAAGCUCAUCAAGUGACGGUAACUACCCAGAAAGGGACGGCUAACUACGUG